AUCACCAGGGAUCUUGUUAAAAUGCAGAUUCUGAUUCAGGAGGUCUGGGGUGUGGCCUGAGAUCCUGCAUUUCUAACAAACUCCCAGGUGACGUCAA
rnacentral:pre_miRNA from 1 species